GGGCAGGUGGCGGAGUGGUCAAACGCAGCAGACUGUAAAUCUGCCGCCUUUAUGGCUGCGUAGGUUCGAAUCCUACCCUGCCCACCA
rnacentral:tRNA from 1 species